rnacentral:rRNA from 1 species
AGAACGAACGCUGGCGGCAGGCUUAACACAUGCAAGUCGAGCGCCCCGCAAGGGGAGCGGCAGACGGGAGAGUAACACGUGGGAACGUACCCUUUGGUUCGGAACAACACAGGGAAACUUGUGCUAAUACCGGAUAAGCCCUUACGGGGAAAGAUUUAUUGCCAAAGGAUCGGCCCGCGUCUGAUUAGCUUGUUGGUGAGGUAACGGCUCACCAAGGCUACGAUCAGUAGCUGGUCUGAGAGGAUGAUCAGCCUCACUGGGACUGAGACACGGCCCAGACUCCUACGGGAGGCAGCAGUGGGGAAUAUUGGACAAUGGGCGCAAGCCUGAUCCAGCCAUGCCGCGUGGAUGAUGAAGGCCCUAGGGUUGUAAAGUCCUUUCGACGGGGAAGAUAAUGACGGUACCCGUAGAAGAACGCCCCGGCUAACUUCGUGCCAGCAGCCGC